rnacentral:rRNA from 1 species
UACGGGGGGAGCAAGCGUUGUUCGGAUUUACUGGGCGUAAAGGGCGCGUAGGCGGUCAGCACAAGUCAGUUGUGAAAUCUCCGGGCUUAACUCGGAAAGGUCAACUGAUACUGUGCGACUAGAGUGCAGAAGGGGCAACUGGAAUUCUCGGUGUAGCGGUGAAAUGCGCAGAUAUCAGGAGGAACACCGGUGGCGAAGGCGG